CCGUGGGAUGAAUCCCACGGCUACCAUCGACCGCCCCUUCAGGUCU
rfam:Desulfuromonadales bacterium GWD2_61_12 gwd2_scaffold_3192, whole genome shotgun sequence.